rnacentral:tRNA from 1 species
GUAUUUAUAGUUUAACUAAAACAUUAGAUUGUGGUUCUAAAGACAAAAGUUAAAAUCUUUUUAUUUACCGAGAGAGGUCCGGGACACGA